rnacentral:rRNA from 1 species
UGGGGGAUAUUGCACAAUGGAGGAAACUCUGAUGCAGCAACGCCGCGUGAGGGAAGACGGUUUUCGGAUUGUAAACCUCUGUCCUUGGUGAAGAUAAUGACGGUAGCCAAGGAGGAAGCUCCGGCUAACUACGUGCCAGCAGCCGCGGUAAUACGUAGGGAGCAAGCGUUGUCCGGAUUUACUGGGUGUAAAGGGUGCGUAGGCGGCACUGCAAGUCAGGCGUGAAAGCCGGAGGCUUAACCUCCGAAUUGCGUUUGAAACUGUGGUGCUUGAGUGAAGUAGAGGUAGGCGGAAUUCCCGGUGUAGCGGUGAAAUGCGUAGAGAUCGGGAGGAACACCAGUGGCGAAGGCGGCCUACUGGGCUUUAACUGACGCUGAGGCACGAA